AAGGACUUAACUUAAUUAAAGUACCUGACCUGCACUCAGGAAAUGUAAGAUAGAAUCUUGCAGACCUUA
rnacentral:tRNA from 1 species